rnacentral:rRNA from 1 species
CCGAAGAUGUAUCGGGGCUAAAGCCAUGCACCGAAGCUGCGGAUGUGAUUUAUUUCACAUGGUAGCGGAGCGUUCCGUAAGCCAGUGAAGGGUUACCGCGAGGUAGCCUGGAGGUAUCGGAAGUGAGAAUGCUGACACGAGUAGCGAUAAACAGUGUGAGAGACACUGUCGCCGAAAAUCCAAGGGUUCCUGCGUAAAGCUAAUCUGCGCAGGGUGAGCCGGCCCCUAAGGCGAGGGCGAAAGCCGUAGUCGAUGGGAACCAGGUUAAUAUUCCUGGGCCUGCUGGAAGUGACGAAUACCGUAUAUUGUAAGAACUAAUUGGAUUGAUCUUGCAGUGAAGGUGUUCCAGGAAAUAACUCCAGCUUAUAGACCGUACUCUAAACCGACACAGGUGGAUUGGUAGAGAAUACCUAGGCGCUUGAGAGAACGAUGUUGAAGGAACUCGGCAAAAUGCCCCCGUAACUUCGGGAGAAGGGGGACCCUUUCUUGGGCAACCAGGAGGGGGUGGCACAGAAUAGGGGGUGGCGACUGUUUACUAAAAACACAGGACUCUGCAAACUCGUAAGAGGACGUAUAGGGUCUGACGCCUGCCCGGUGCCGGAAGGUUAAGAGGAGGAGUGCAAGCUCUGAAUUGAAGCCCCGGUAAACGGCGGCCGUAACUAUAACGGUCCUAAGGUAGCGAAAUUCCUUGUCGGGUAAGUUCCGACCCGCACGAAUGGCGCAACGACUUCCCCACUGUCUCCAACAUCGACUCAGCGAAACUGAAUUCUCCGUGAAGAUGCGGAGUACGCGUGGUCAGACGGAAAGACCCCGUGCACCUUUACUACAACUUUACAGUGGUAUUAGAUGUUGAACGUGUAGGAUAGGCGGGAGCCUUUGAAGUGUCAGCGCCAGUUGGCAUGGAGGCAACCUUGAAAUACCGCCCUUUUUACUUCUGAUAUCUAACCGAGAUCCGUUAUCCGGAUCCGGGACCCUGUAUGGUGGGUAGUUUGACUGGGGCGGUCGCCUCCUA